rnacentral:rRNA from 1 species
UACGUAGGUGGCGAGCGUUGUCCGGAAUUACUGGGCGUAAAGGGCGCGUAGGCGGUUUACUAAGUCAGAUGUGAAAACCCCGGGCUCAACCUGGGGAUUGCAUUUGAAACUGGUAGGCUAGAGUGUCGGAGAGGAAGGCGGAAUUCCUAGUGUAGCGGUGAAAUGCGUAGAUAUUAGGAGGAACACCAGUGGCGAAGGCGGCUUUCUGGACGACAACUGACGCUGAGGCGCGAAAGCGUGGGGAGCAAAC